AUAAUACUCCAUAGAUUAGAGACACUGGAAUGUUCUUUAGUCGAAAGUUCUGGCGCCUUAGGAUGGAUCUGCGGUCGAUUAGGUUGUUGGGGUAACGGCCCAACAAGCCUGUAAUCGAUACGGGUUGUGGGAGCAAGAGCCCGGAGAUGGAAUCUGAGACACGAUUCCAGGCCCUACGGGGCGCAGCAGGCGCGAAAACUUUACAAUGCAGGAAACUGUGAUAAGGGAACUCCGAGUGCCCGUAUACGCGGGCUGUCCAGGUGUUUAAAAAUCAUCUGAAGAAAGGGCCGGGCAAGACCGGUGCCAGCCGCCGCGGUAAUACCGGCGGCUCGAGUGGUGGCCACUAUUAUUGGGCUUAAAGCGUCCGUAGCUGGACCGAUAAGUCUCUUGGGAAAUCCGCCGGCUCAACCGGCGGGCGUCUAAGGGAUACUGUUAGUCUAGGGACCGGGAGAGGUGAGAGGUACUCCGGGGGUAGGAGUGGAAUCCUGUAAUCCCCGGGGGACCACCGAUGGCGAAGGCAUCUCACCAGAACGGCUCCGACAGUGAGGGACGAAAGCUGGGGGAGCGAACCGGAUUAGAUACCCGGGUAGUCCCAGCCGUAAACUAUGCGCGCUAGGUGU
rnacentral:rRNA from 1 species